rnacentral:hammerhead_ribozyme from 1 species
AUCCAGCUGAUGAGUCCCAAAUAGGACGAAGGGUGCGUUCUGGAU